rnacentral:lncRNA from 1 species
CAUAGCCUUAAUUAACGGGCUACACAUAAUGGCUGACGACAGCCAGAGCGUGAAAUGGGAGGAUUCCCCGGAUGAUCAAAAUAAAGUUGUGGAGAAUAUGAAGGAUGAAACAGAGACACAUGAGAACAACAAGAACAGGACUGGAGGCAAGGCUAAACGUAAGUCCAGUGGCAGUGCCAAGAAGACUUCCGUGGAGGAGGACAGCAGCAUUGGUGCAGAGUCUUCUCAGACACCCGGGUGUGGUUUCCGGGAAAGGGGAUCUAUCAUUGAGCAGCUGGAGAAGGAGGCUCAGAGGACUCUAAUGCCUUCUCUCAAGAUUGGGACAUGCUGUGCCCCAAUCCUCCUCUCCUUCCUGAGGAGUCUAACUGAUGAGCAAGUCCCAUGUCUUUCUCCAACCUCACAUACAACAACUCUGAAUUUAUAGUCAUAGUGCACCUUCUAACCACAAAUGCGAUUUCAAACACUACACCUAACCCUAAC